GGCACACCAGGGGUGGAGCCUGUGGCUUAAUUUGAAUCAACACGGGGAAACUUACCAGGACCAGAUGUUUUUUAUGACUGACAGGCUUCGGGUCUUUCAGGAUAUUGUUUUUGGUGGUGCAUGGCCGUUGGUGGUGCGUGGGUUGACCUGUCUAGCGUUGAUUCAGCUAACGAGCGAGAUUAUCGCCAAUUAUUUACUUUGCCGAAGUCCUUCGGUUAAAGUUCUAAUUGGGACUCCCUGCGAUUUUAGCAGGUGGAAGAGGGUAGCAAUAACAGGUCCGUGAUGCCCUUUAGAUGCUCUGGGCUGCACGCGUGCUACAAUGUUAGGAUCAAUAGGACUGCGAGCCUGAGAGGGUGCGCUACUCUUAUAAUCCCUAACGUAGUUGGGAUUGACGUUUGUAAUCAGCGUCAUGAACCAGGAAUCCCUUGUAAAUGUGUGUCAACAACGCACGUUGAAUACGUCCCUGCCCUUUGUACACACCGCCCGUCGCUCCUACCGAUUGGAUGACUCGGUGAAAUCACCGGAUGCUUACGAGCAGAAAGUGAUUAAAUCACGUUAUCUAGAGGAAGGAGAAGUCGUAACAAGGUAACGGUAGGUGAACCUGCCGUUGGAUCAGUU
rnacentral:ncRNA from 1 species